rnacentral:rRNA from 1 species
UACGUAGGGUGCAAGCGUUAAUCGGAAUUACUGGGCGUAAAGCGUGCGCAGGCGGUUUUGUAAGUUUGUCGUGAAAGCCCCGGGCUCAACCUGGGAAUUGCGAUGAAGACUGCAAGGCUUGAAUCUGGCAGAGGGGGGUAGAAUUCCACGUGUAGCGGUGAAAUGCGUAGAUAUCAGGAGGAACACCGAUGGCGAAGGCAGCUCUCUGGCCUAUAACUGACGCUGAGGUGCGAAAGCGUGGGGAGCAAACGGG